rnacentral:rRNA from 1 species
GACGAACGCUGGCGGCGUGCUUAACACAUGCAAGUCGAACGGGAUUUAGUAGACAGAAGCCUCGGCUAAAGAUUACUAAUGAGAGUGGCGAACGGGUGAGUAACGCGUGAGCAACCUGCCUAUGACAGUGGGAUAGCCUCGGGAAACCGGGAUUAAUACCGCAUAAAAUCGUAGAAACACAUGUUUUAACGGUCAAAGAUUUAUCGGUCAUAGAUGGGCUCGCGUCUGAUUAGCUAGUUGGUGAGAUAACAGCCACCAAGGCGACGAUCAGUAGCCGGUCUGAGAGGAUGAACGGCCACAUUGGAACUGAGACACGGUCCAAACUCCUACGGGAGGCAGCAGUGGGGAAUAUUGCACAAUGGGGGAAACCCUGAUGCAGCGACGCCGCGUGAACGAAGAAGGUAUUCGUAUCGUAAAGUUCUGUCCUAUGGGAAGAUAAUGACAGUACCAUAGAAGAAAGCUCCGGCUAAAUACGUG